rnacentral:rRNA from 1 species
UACGAAGGGGGCUAGCGUUGUUCGGAAUACUGGGCGUAAAGCGCACGUAGGCGGAUAUUUAAGUCGGGGGUGAAAUCCCGGGGCUCAACCCCGGAACUGCCUUCGAUACUGGGUAUCUUGAGUUCGGAAGAGGUGAGUGGAAUUGCGAGUGUAGAGGUGAAAUUCGUAGAUAUUCGCAGGAACACCAGUGGCGAAGGCGGCUCACUGGUCCGAUACUGACGCUGAGGUGCGAAAGCGUGGGGAGC